UACGUAGGGGGCAAGCGUUGUCCGGAAUCAUUGGGCGUAAAGAGCGUGUAGGCGGCCAGAUAAGUCCGCUGUGAAAUCUCGAGGCUCAACUUCGGGCUGUCGGUGGAAACUGUCUGGCUAGAGUCCGGAAGAGGAGAAUGGAAUUCCUGGUGUAGCGGUGAAAUGCGCAGAUAUCAGGAAGAACACCCGUGGCGAAGGCGGUUCUCUGGGACGGUACUGACGCUGAGACGCGAAAGCGUGGGGAGCGAACAGG
rnacentral:rRNA from 1 species